AACGAACGCUGGCGGCAUGCCUAAUACAUGCAAGUCGAACGAGAUCUUCGGAUCUAGUGGCGCACGGGUGCGUAACGCGUGGGAAUCUGCCCUUGGGUUCGGAAUAACUUCUGGAAACGGAAGCUAAUACCGGAUGAUGACGUAAGUCCAAAGAUUUAUCGCCCAAGGAUGAGCCCGCGUAGGAUUAGCUAGUUGGUGGGGUAAAGGCCCGCCAAGGCGACGAUCCUUAGCUGGUCUGAGAGGAUGAUCAGCCACACUGGGACUGAGACACGGCCCAGACUCCUACGGGAGGCAGCAGUAGGGAAUAUUGGACAAUGGGCGAAAGCCUGAUCCAGCAAUGCCGCGUGAGUGAUGAAGGCCUUAGGGUUGUAAAGCUCUUUUACCCGGGAUGAUAAUGACAGUACCGGGAGAAUAAGCUCCGGCUAACUCCGUG
rnacentral:rRNA from 1 species